GAGGGUGUAGCUCAGUGGUAGAGCAUGUGCUUAGCAUGCACAAGGUCUUGGGUUCAAUCCCCAGUACCUCCA
rnacentral:tRNA from 1 species